UACGGAGGGUGCAAGCGUUAUCCGGAUUUAUUGGGUUUAAAGGGUCCGUAGGCGGAUCUGUAAGUCAGUGGUGAAAUCUCACAGCUUAACUGUGAAACUGCAUUGGAUACUAUCCGGCUAGAGGAAUGGAGGGGAGACUGGAAUACUUGGUGUAGCAGUGAAAUGCGUAGAUAUCAAGUGGAACACCAGUGGCGAAGGCGAGUCUCUGGACAUUUCCUGACGCUGAGGCACGAAAGCCAGGGGAGCAAACGGG
rnacentral:rRNA from 1 species